rnacentral:tRNA from 1 species
CCUGGUGUCUCAGUGGUAAAGAAUCUGCCUACAAUGCAGGAGACCCAGGUUCGAUUCCUGGGUCAGGA